rnacentral:rRNA from 1 species
AACGAACGCUGGCGGCAGGCCUAACACAUGCAAGUCGAACGCCCUAGCAAUAGGGAGUGGCAGACGGGUGAGUAACACGUGGGAAUAUCCCCCUCAGUACGGAAUAGCCCAGGGAAACUUGGAGUAAUACCGUAUACGUCCGUGAGGAGAAAGAUUUAUCGCUGAGGGAUUAGCCCGCGUCGGAUUAGCUAGUUGGUGAGGUAACGGCUCACCAAGGCGACGAUCCGUAGCUGGCCUGAGAGGACGAUCAGCCACACUGGGACUGAGACACGGCCCAGACUCCUACGGGAGGCAGCAGUGGGGAAUAUUGGACAAUGGGCGCAAGCCUGAUCCAGCCAUGCCGCGUGAGUGACGAAGGCCUUAGGGUUGUAAAGCUCUUUUGGCGGGGACGAUAAUGACGGUACCCGCAGAAUAAGCCCCGGCUAACUUCGUGCCAGCCGCCGCGGUAAAAC